AUUGAACGCUGGCGGCAUGCCUAACAUAUGCAAGUCGAACGAGUGGCGGACGGGCGAGUAAUGUCUGGGAAACUGCCUGAUGGAGGGGGAUAACUACUGGAAACGGUAGCUAAUACUGCAUACCAUCGUAUGUGCCCAGAUGGGAUUAGCUAGUAGGGGGGGUACAGGCUCACCUAGGCGACGAUCCCUAGCUGGUCUGAGAGGAUGACCAGCCCCACUGGGACUGAGACACGGUCCGGACUCCUACGGGGCGAAGCAGUGGGGUAUAUUGCACACAGGGAGGUGGCCUGAUGCGGCCAUGCCGCGUGUAUGAAGCGGGCCUUCGAGUUGUAGAGUACUUUCGGCGGGAAGGCGUUACCCGCAGAAGAAGCACCGGCUAACUCCGUGCCAGCAGCCGCGGUAAUAC
rnacentral:rRNA from 1 species